rnacentral:misc_RNA from 1 species
UGGUUCUGGCAUCGAUGAAGAACGCAGCGAAAUGCGAUAAGUAGUGUGAAUUGCAGAUUUAAGUGAAUCAUCGAAUCUUUGAACGCAUAUUGCGCCCUCUGGUAUUCCGGAGGGCAUGUCUGUUCGAGCGUCAUUAGCAUCUCCAGGCCCUUGCCUGAUGUUGGCGCCUUGUCGGUACUCUACCGACUGCGCCUAAAGCAAUCUACAGCGGAAUCAAGUCAUGCCAAUGCAGUACCGCGUGUGGCAUGCUCCUUGUCUCCAUGUCUGCUUGACCUCGAAUCAGAUAGGACUACCCGCUGA